CUCAUCUUCUUACUCCCUCUUCCACAGGCAAGCGAAAGUGACCUAAGAUGAUGUGGAAGUUCUUAAGAAACGCCUGGACCUGGAAAGCCUAGUCCCUUUUCCUGUGUUUCUCUAGGAAGAAAGAUGCUGCAGUAGGCUUUGUACAGCGGAUCUUGCAAAUGUCUUUGGCAGUUUUGCGACUCUCUGUCUGUAAGAUCCCGGCCACGGUUAACACACUGAGGAACCAAACGCCGCUCAGCAUCUUUAGGCACCUUCGGUGUCAACUCAGAUUAAAGGCCAGGACUCAUCCUACUCUGAAAUUUGGCCAAGUGACCACCUUGUCCCACACUCAAGUAUAGACUCUCAAGACCUUAACCUUAUGAUGACAAGAAGAGGCAAAUAAAGGAAAAGAGUCAAGAAUUCCAGAGAAAAUGAUAUUCUUGGAGCUGCUGGUAUCCUUCGAGCUUCGUAUGACUUUGAAAGAAAAAAAAUACCCACUUAAUCCUGAGUGCCUCCAAAUCAUAUUUGCUGAUAAACCCUGGAUUUAAGUUGUAAACAAAUUAAAGAUUAAAAACUUUCCUUUGGCA
rnacentral:lncRNA from 1 species